rnacentral:lncRNA from 1 species
CCCACGCCCCUCAUGGAACUAGAAACCUCUACAGGUUCUUGAAGUCAUACACGCAUGUGCCAUCGUCACUGCGAGCAGUGGGGUCGAAAUUCUCUGCGUUCGGGUCGGUGCAUCCUUCCGGAACCUUGAGAUCCAUGUGCUGCGCUGCGUUCCCUCCUGUACAAGGUACCGUAAUUUCUGGUCAGCUGUCACUGCUUCAAGCUCGCAAACCUCACUUAAGGAAUCACACUGCAAGGACUCGCGCACUGGUGCCGAGCACGAUCGAGUCACACAAAGUAUUCCAAGCAUCGUCUCCGACCACCCUGUUCACUCACCGUAGAAGGUCCCCUGCUUAAUGGCGUCGGCGUUUGCGUCUCCCAGGGCGUCGGACGACAGGUACUCUUCGGCGAGUUGCACACGUUUUACGUUCUGCUGCUCCUGGACCAGCAUGUCUCCAUACUCCAUCAGCUUCUCGAUGGUCAUCGCUGGCUUCUGGAAAGUUGGGGGCCCAUCUUUGGAGUUCACCAGGUUCCUGCCGAUGUUCUCGAUUCCCACCUUCCCGAUCCACUUCCUCACCUCAUCAUCGUACACGCGGGCCCUCAGGGCGCCGAAGAAAUCUGCACCACCGAUUCCCCCACCCAGUCAGACACAUUCCACUCCCACAUCUCAACAGCCGAGCCAACUCGGUUGCAUGCUCUGCACCACAUCUACCUCUCUGCGCAGCCACCGACUGACCACAAAUCGCAGGGACAGAAACGACGAGGGGAAGUCGCCCACAAUCCAAGUCACAAAUCACUGUCACGACU